AUGAACGCUAGCGGCAGGCUUAAUACAUGCAAGUCGAGGGGCAGCGCAGUGUAGCAAUACAUGGGCGGCGACCGGCAAACGGGUGCGUAACACGUACGCAACCUUCCCGUUACUGUGGGAUAGCCCAGGGAAACUUGGAUUAAUACCACACAUUGCCAUUGGGAGGCAUCUCUUGAUGGCCAAAGAAUUUCGGUAACGGAUGGGCGUGCGGUUGAUUAGGUAGUUGGCGGGGUAACGGCCCACCAAGCCUACGAUCAAUAGCUGAUGUGAGAGCAUGAUCAGCCACACGGGCACUGAGACACGGGCCCGACUCCUACGGGAGGCAGCAGUAAGGAAUAUUGGGCAAUGGACGAAAGUCUGACCCAGCCAUGCCGCGUGAAGGAUGAAGGUCCUCUGGAUUGUAAACUUCUUUUUUCUGGGGAGAAAUGCAUCUUUUCUAAGGUGUUUGACGGUACCAGAAGAAUAAGCACCGGCUAACUCCGUG
rnacentral:rRNA from 1 species